rnacentral:rRNA from 1 species
AGUGAACGCUGGCGGUAGGCCUAACACAUGCAAGUCGAACGGCAGCACAGUAAGAGCUUGCUCUUACGGGUGGCGAGUGGCAGACGGGUGAGGAAUACAUCGGAAUCUACUUUUUCGUGGGGGAUAACGUAGGGAAACUUACGCUAAUACCGCAUACGACCUACGGGUGAAAGCAGGGGAUCUUCGGACCUUGCGCGAUUGAAUGAGCCGAUGUCGGAUUAGCUAGUUGGCGGGGUAAAGGCCCACCAAGGCGACGAUCCGUAGCUGGUCUGAGAGGAUGAUCAGCCACACUGAAAGUGAGACACGGUCCAGACUCCUACGGGAGGCAGCAGUGGGAAUAUUGGACAAUGGGCGCAAGCCUGAUCCAGCCAUACCGCGUGGGUGAAGAAGGCCUUCGGGUUGUAAAGCCCUUUUGUUGGGAAAGAAAAGCAGCAGGUUAAUACCCCGCUGUUCUGACGGUACCCAAAGAAUAAGCACCGGCUAACUUCGUG